rnacentral:rRNA from 1 species
AGUGAACGCUGGCGGUAGGCCUAACACAUGCAAGUCGAACGGCAGCACAGUAAGAGCUUGCUCUUACGGGUGGCGAGUGGCGGACGGGUGAGGAAUACAUCGGAAUCUAAUUUUUCGUGGGGGAUAACGGAGGGAAACUGACGCUAAUACCGCAUACGACCUACGGGUGAAAGCAGGGGAUCUUCGGACCUUGCGCGAUUGAAUGAGCCGAUGUCGGAUUAGCUAGUUGGCGGGGUAAAGGCCCACCAAGGCGACGAUCCGUAGCUGGUCUGAGAGGAUGAUCAGCCACACUGGAACUGAGACACGGUCCAGACUCCUACGGGAGGCAGCAGUGGGGAAUAUUGGACAAUGGGCGCAAGCCUGAUCCAGCCAUACCGCGUGAGUGAAGAAGGCCUUCGGGUUGUAAAGCCCUUUUGUUGGGAAAGAAAAGCAGCAGGUUAAUACCCCGCUGUUCUGACGGUACCCAAAGAAUAAGCACCGGCUAACUUCGUG